UUAGAGUUUGAUCCUGGCUCAAGAUGAACGCUAGCGGCAGGCUUAACACAUGCAAGUCGAGGGGCAGCAUGUCCAGCAAUGGAUGAUGGCGACCGGCGGAAGGGUGCGUAACGCGUGAGCAACAUGCCCUAUACAGGGAGAUACACCAGGGAAACUUGGUCUAAUAUCCCAUAGCAUUCAUUGAAGGCAUCUUUAAUGAAUUAAAGCUUCGGUGGUAUAGGAUUGGCUCGCGUGACAUUAGCCAGAUGGUGAGGUAACGGCUCACCAUAGCAAUGAUGUCUAGGGGUUUUGAGAGGAACGCCCCCCACACUGGGACUGACACACGGCCCACACUCCUACGGGAGGCAGCAGUGAGGAAUAUUGGACAAUGGAUGGAAAUCUGAUCCACCCAUGCCGCGUGCAGGAAGACGGCCUUAUGGGUUGUAAACUGCUUUUAUACGGGAGCAAUAAGGGUUACGAGUAAUCCGAUGAGAGUACUGUAUGAAUAAGGAUCGGCUAACUCCGUGCCAGCAGCCGCGGUAAUACGGGGGAUCCGAGCGCUAUCCGGAAUUAUUGGGUUUAAAGGGUGCGUAGGCGGCCAUUUAAGUCAGCGGUGAAAUUUUGCAGCUUAACUGUAACAGUGCCGUUGAUACUGUUUGGCUAGGAUUUGGUUGUAGUGUGCGGAAUGUGUGGUGUAGCGGUGAAAUGCUUAGAUAUCACGCGGAACGCCGAUCGCGAAGGCAGCUGGCCAGGCCGUUACCGACGCUGAGGCACGAAAGCGUGGGGAUCAAACAGGAUUAGAUACCCUGGUAGUCCACGCCGUAAACGAUGAUCACUGGGUGCCGGCGACACACCGUCGGUGCCUGAGCGAAAGCAUUAAGUGAUCCACCUGGGGAGCACGAUCGCAAGGUUGAAACUCAAAGGAAUUGACGGGGGCCCGCACAAGCGGAGGAACAUGUGGUUUAAUUCGAUGAUACGCGAGGAACCUUACCUGGGCUCGAACGCAUUCGGAAGCGCACGGAAACGUGCGCGCCAGCGAUGGCCGUUUGCGAGGUGCUGCAUGGUUGUCGUCAGCUCGUGCCGUGAGGUGUCGGGUUAAGUCCCACAACGAGCGCAACCCCUACUGCUAGUUGCCAGCGCGUAAUGGCGGGGACUCUAGCGGAACUGCCGGCGUAAGCCGUGAGGAAGGUGGGGAUGACGUCAAAUCAGCACGGCCCUUAUGUCCAGGGCUACACACGUGUUACAAUGGCCGGUACAGAGGGCAGCCACCCCGCGAGGGGGCGCGAAUCCCCAAAGCCGGUCUCAGUUCGGAUCGGAGUCUGCAACCCGACUCCGUGAAGCUGGAUUCGCUAGUAAUCGCGCAUCAGCCAUGGCGCGGUGAAUACGUUCCCGGGCCUUGCACACACCGCCCGUCAAG
rnacentral:rRNA from 1 species